rnacentral:lncRNA from 1 species
CGGAGCCGGAGGUGGCUGCGGAAGCUUUAGUCCUCUCCCCGAUGUGGCGACCACGGCCAGGACAAUGCUGGCCUACGCAGUCUCAGAGCAUGAAAGUUUGAGGCGUCUAUGUUAUGAGAGAGUGGACAUGAAGGUGCUUUGAAUAGAUCCAUCUUCACAGGGAGGACACUGGCUGUCAGGAGAGACCAGACUUGCCUCAAGAAGGGUUAAUGCCCAAAGCAGGACCUUUUGGAGGUCGUCAGCCUUCACUAGUACCAGGAGCCAAUGGCCAUUGUCCUGCAUGAGGUAAUGCCUUCAAGGGGUCCCUCUCAUUGGUGGCUGGGAGCGUCAGUGGUGAGUAGAGGUGGGAGCCCUCGGGAGUUUCCUUCUUCCCCUCUCUGAAGUUCAUGUGCUGUCCGAUCCUGUUAACAGAACAGGUAGCCAGGACCGCCUGGACUCCAUAAAGGGCCUGGGGACCCCGCUAGCGAUCAGGAGGGGCCCAGAGUUGCCUGAGCUGAGGGUCUGGGUCCCCCUCAGCCCGAGGCACUUCUGGCCUCUCUGCGAUUUGCAGGCUGCGGUCUCCACCCCAAAGGCCCUUCAUUCCUCCGCGCACCUGAUGGCUUCCUCCUGAAGCUCUGAGACCCCACUUCCUGGCACCUCCUCAGGAUCUGCCACAGCAUGGAUUUCUCUGUUCCCUCUGUCAGAGAUCUACAGCCUGUGUACUGCGAUGGCCCAGCACUCCUGCUUGUGUCUCCCACUUGGCUGGAAGCAGACCAAGAGCAGGGUAUGUGCUGGGGUGCCCAACCCAGGGCCAGGCACAGAGCACACCUACACAUUGAAGGAGUGUGUGACUGCAUAGAUGGAACCUGGUUCUGGAUCAGCCUUGGAGGUGGGGAGAGGGGUUGGUGGGGUCUGGGUAGAUGAGAGGGAUGGAUAGAGCUUGGAGGUGUUGCAGAAAAGCAGUGUGUAUUGGGGGUAAGGGGCUACAGGGAAGACAGAGGGUACAGGGAACUUCCAUGGCCCCUGUCCUGGCAGUCAGUCUCUAAGGUAUGAGGUCCUCCCUGCCGUGCUGACACCAGAAACGGUUUGGGGCAGCCUGGCCAUGGGAUGCAGGAGGGAGCUUUGUGCCUACUGAUGGGCACUGCCGCCUGGCUUCCUGGCAGCCCAAGCGGGAGCCAACAGAGCAAGUUGGGGAGCUGGCCCAGGAGCCAAGGGGGCCCUGGGAGCCCUGCAGGUACCUAAGCAGCUUCAGAAAGGAAGGUGCCAGAGCAACUGGGAGGGAGGAGCGUGUCUGGAGAUGAGUGGCUCCUCCCAGCCUUGGAAGCCGGGGGCAUCUGGAACAGUGGGGUCCCUCAAGAGAGGAAAAUGCCAAGAUGACACCGGUGAGGGAGGGCUAGAGAGGCCUCCUAGGGUGGGAAGGAUGAGUUAAGGGGUGGCGUGGGGCUGGGGUGAAAUCAUCCAGCAAAGGGACAGGUCAGGCAUGGGGGUGAGUGGUGACUCAUCAGGAGGGAAGUGUCAGAAGCCCAGCCCUCUGGCAGUUCCCUCAUGCUGCUGUAACAUGGCAGGGGUGUUGGUCAGGCAGCUGGCUCCACACUCUGCCACUCACCUGUCCUGGGAUACAUGCCAGUGUCUCCAUCUCCUAUAAGCACUGCCAGUAGAGAACACCACUGCCGCCUUCAGGCAGACUGACCGGCAACCCAUCCUGCCAUGCAGGCCCACCCCAGGUGCAGAGACCUGGUUUCAACUGCAGCUUAGUCACUGAUGGGCAGGGUACCACGGCCCUCUCUAAGCCUUGAAUUCCUCAUCUGCACAAUCCUUUUGGGGCAGUGGCCACUUCCUGCCCACCCUGGCGGGGCAGGCUGCAGGCCAGCCUUUGCCCCUUUAUGGAGAGGGAGCUCCACAUCUCAGCCAGCAGGGCAGAUCCCCAGAGCUCCUGGGGUGGGCAGAUGAAAGGAGCUCGCCCCCUCCUCCUUCCCCCAGCCUCCGGGCCAGUCACUUCACCUCUCCUCCUCUCUUCUGCAGAACUGUAAGAAUUAUUAUUUUUUAAAUCCUCAUUGGAAUGCUAAUUUUGAUUCUGAGUGUCUGUCAUGGGCUCUUUGAAGUUUUUCAGACAAAAUAAGUAUCUCCUUAACAGAGGGGAUUAGCGCCUACUUGUUUAGAAUCCUCUGACUGAGAGUGACAACCAAUUUCGGAAUCUGUGGGGUUUAGGGAGGCUGCAGGAAGAGGGGCUGCCUCCCUCCCUGGUGGUCAGCUUUCCAUAAAUGGCUUAAUGGGGUUAGAGUUUAACCCCUCAAAUAGGGAUCAGAGCCCCCAGCUUGAAAGCCAAUGAGCAGCGAGGCAGAUCUUGCUAUUUAAAUCCAGCAGGACUUGGUUAGAACUCUUUUAUUCUCUUGAGCUUAAAGAAAACAAACCCAUUUCCCUUGCAGAAUUUAGGGCCCACACCAGCCAGCUGCCCCCAGCCUCCUCCCCAAAACGCAGGCCUUUGCUCCACAGGUAAUUCAUCGCCCAGACUCAGCCCAGGCUGAGAUGCUCCUGGCUUUAUGAUUCAGUUCAAUUCAGGAGUGCUAAUGGGGCAAUUUGUAAAGAAAGAAAUAUAAUGAGUUAUCACAAAGCCCAGCAAGGACUCGACAAACCAGGCACUUCCCAUCCAUCAAGCAUCCUAGCGUGGUCGGAGACCAGCAGCGCCAGAAAUCUUGUGAGGCCCCUGGGAACGCGCUUUUCUGGGCCUGGACAUGCACACAUACGGCAGCCACUGCAGGUGCUUCCUUCUCCCUUUGCCCUCCCUGCAUUCCCCGCCGCCCGCACCCCACCAAAUCAUGGCCCCUAAGGGCCAGAUGACCUGGGCCGAUGGUGUGGGUGGGGUACGAUAGAGGUAAAAGGAGGGAUACUUAAGAAUUUCUUUGCUGAAGCAAAAUUAUCAUGCAGGCCAUUUUUAAAAAGAGCAUUAAUACCAUGUGAGGGCCCACAGAGUCCCAGAUGUGGCAAGUAGGCUGCAACAUUUCCCCAGGACUCUCGUUGCCAGCAGGGUUCCCAUGGCAGGGUUGCUGAAGCUGGGGCUUGGCCUGACAUGAAGCCUAAGGUCAUGGAGAUGAUACUGGGCAGCCACAUCCAUCCAGUAUGUCCCAUGAAGUCAAACUUCACCCAGCCUGGGCCUGUGGGAUACCCUCUGCAGAGAGCAGGUGCCAUGCUGUGUCCACUCUGCUGAGACAGCAGGCCGCUCACUUGAGUUGGAGACCCAUAGGCAGGCAGGCCCCUCCUGCGCUUCUUUCAGAUGUGCACAGUGGGGUCCAGAAUGGGGAAGUGAAUUGCCAGAGGACUCGCAUUAAGGAAGUGGCAGCUUGUCACAGUGUGUACAUGAUAGUCUAGGACAGUGUGGCUGGGGCUGGGUGGCUAGCAAGGGGGAGUAGGAAGGGUGAGGCCAAGAGGGCAAGUCCACAGGCCCAAAUGCCAGGCACCUGGGUCCGGGACUGGCCCAACUUGCUCAGCCUCCAUGCUGGGGUCCCUAGACUGGCCCCCACCCUUCCUUUUCCAGCCACCACUGCCCUGUUCUAGCUCAGAUCUGGAGGAUGGAGAUUUUGGUCAGUCUGGUAAUGAUUCAU